UACGUAGGGUGCGAGCGUUGUCCGGAAUUAUUGGGCGUAAAGGGCUCGUAGGCGGUUUGUCGCGUCGGGAGUGAAAUCAUCUGGCUUAACUGGGUGCUUGCUUUCGAUACGGGCAGACUAGAGGUAUGCAGGGGAGAACGGAAUUCCUGGUGUAGCGGUGAAAUGCGCAGAUAUCAGGAGGAACACCGGUGGCGAAGGCGGUUCUCUGGGCAUGAUCUGAUGCUGAGGAGCGAAAGUGUGGGGAGCGAACAGG
rnacentral:rRNA from 1 species